GGAUGAACGUUGGCGGCGUGCCUAAUACAUGCAAGUCGAACGAAGACUGUAGUAAUACUGUCUUAGUGGCGAACGGGUGAGUAACGCGUGGGUGACCUGCCCCGAAGUGUGGGAUAACAGUUCGAAAGGAUUGCUAAUACUGCAUAAUAUCCAAGAGAUUAGACGCUUUUGGAUUAAAGGAGUAAUUCGCUUCGGGAGGGGCCCGCGUCCCAUCAGCUAGUUGGUAAGGUAACGGCCUACCAAGGCGAAGACGGGUAGGGGGUGUGAGAGCACGGCCCCCCACAAUGGGACUGAGAGACGGCCCAUACUCCUACGGGAGGCAGCAGCAGGGAAUCUUGCGCAAUGGACGGAAGUCUGACGCAGCGACGCCGCGUGGGUGAAGACGGCCUUCGGGUUGUAAAGCCCUUUUCUGGAGGAAGAGGGAGGACGGUACUCCAGGAAUAAGUGUCGGCUAACUACGUGCCAGCAGCCGCGGUAAUACGUAGGACACGAGCGUUAUCCGGAUUUACUGGGCGUAAAGCGCCUGUAGGCGGUUCUUCAAGUCGUUUGUGAAAGCCCUGGGCUCAACCUGGGGAGGCCAAGCGAUACUGGAGGACUUGAGGGNNACAGAGGGGAGUNNNAUUUCCGAUGUAGCGGUAAAAUGCGCAGAUNNNNGGAGGAACACCAGUGGCGAAGGCGGCUCCCUGGGUCACACCAGACGCUGAGAGGCGAAAGCUAGGGGAGCGAACAGGAUUAGAGACCCUGGUAGUCCUAGCCCUAAACGCUGGAUGCUAGGUGUGGGAUCGAGAGGUUCCGUGCCACAGCUAACGCGAUAAGCAUCCCGCCUGGGGACUACGGCCGCAAGGCUAAAACUCAAACGAAUUGACGGGACCCCGCACAAGCAGCGGAGCGUGUGGUUUAAUUCGAUGCUACACGAAGAACCUUACCUGGGAUGGACAUGGAGGUGGUAGGGAGCCGAAAGGCGACCGACUCUUCGGAGAGCCUUCACAGGUGCUGCAUGGCUGUCGUCAGCUCGUGCCGUGAGGUGUCGGGUUAAGUCCCGUAACGAGCGCAACCCCUGCCCUUAGUUACAAGUGUCUAAGGGGACUGCCGGCGACAAGCCGGAGGAAGGUGGGGAUGACGUCAAGUCAGCAUGGCCUUUAUAUCCAGGGCUACACACACGCUACAAUGGGCGGUACAACGGGCAGCGAAGCCGUGAGGCGGAGCGAAUCCUGAAAAGCCGUUCCCAGUUCGGAUUGCAGGCUGCAACCCGCCUGCAUGAAGUUGGAGUUGCUAGUAACCGCGCGUCAGCCAUAGUGCGGUGAAUACGUUCCCGGGGUU
rnacentral:rRNA from 1 species